ACGACCCUUUCGGGGUUGUACAAGCACUUUUGUCAGGGCAAUGAAUUCCUUUGGCUAGUAUCCCUAUGGGGAUCGACGGUACUGAAGAAUAAGCACCGGGCUAACUACGUGCCAGCAGCCGCGGUAAUACGUAGGGUGCAAGCGUUAAUCGGAAUUACUGGGCGUAAAGCGUGCGCAGGCGGUUGUGUAAGACAGGUGUGAAAUCCCCGGGCUUAACCUGGGAAUUGCAUUUGUGACUGCACGACUAGAGUGUGUCAGAGGGGGGUGGAAUUCCACGUGUAGCAGUGAAAUGCGUAGAUAUGUGGAGGAACACCAAUGGCGAAGGCAGCCCCCUGGGAUAACACUGACGCUCAUGCACGAAAGCGUGGGGAGCAAACAGGAUUAGAUACCCUGGUAGUCCACGCCCUAAACGAUGUCAACUAGUUGUUGGGGAUUUACUUCCUUGGUAACGUAGCUAACGCGUGAAGUUGACCGCCUGGGGAGUACGGCCGCAAGGUUAAAACUCAAAGGAAUUGACGGGGACCCGCACAAGCGGUGGAUGAUGUGGAUUAAUUCGAUGCAACGCGAAAAACCUUACCUACCCUUGACAUGGCAGGAACUUUCCAGAGAUGGAUUGGUGCUCGAAAGAGAACCUGCACACAGGUGCUGCAUGGCUGUCGUCAGCUCGUGUCGUGAGAUGUUGGGUUAAGUCCCGCAACGAGCGCAACCCUUGUCAUUAGUUGCUACGAAAGGGCACUCUAAUGAGACUGCCGGUGACAAACCGGAGGAAGGUGGGGAUGACGUCAAGUCCUCAUGGCCCUUAUGGGUAGGGCUUCACACGUCAUACAAUGGUCGGUACAGAGGGUUGCCAAGCCGCGAGGUGGAGCCAAUCCCAGAAAACCGAUCGUAGUCCGGAUCGCAGUCUGCAACUCGACUGCGUGAAGUCGGAAUCGCUAGUAAUCGCGGAUCAGAAUGCCGCGGUGAAUACGUUCCCGGGUCUUGUACACACCGCCCGUCACACCAUGGGAGUGGGUUCUACCAGAAGUGGCUAGUCUAACCGCAAGGAGGACGGUCACCACGGUAGGAUUCAUGACUGGGGUGAAGUCGUAACAAGGUA
rnacentral:rRNA from 1 species